AACUCCGAGUUUUUGCCUACCCUGGAGAUCCGUCCUCAUAUGACUUCCCAAACUGUUGCGAUUUCUUGCAACUUUGCGAUUUUUCGCUCAAGAAAGUUACCAGCGGUCAGUCGGACAUGACUUUUUGCUAAAUAUCUCGCAAAGCAGCGUUAGCAGAUGUGUGAGGGAAGUUGUCAAUAUAAUGGACAAACAUUUAUUGCCCAAGUACGUGAAAUUUCCAACUUCUGCCGAAGACAUACAAGCAGUAAAGGAGAUAUUUUAUCGUUAAUUCCGUUUCCCAGGGAUGAUAGGUGCUAUUGACGAUUCCCAUAUUAAUACAAAGAAACCAAUCAAGGACAUCGAGCACAUAUAUGUGUGUAGGAAAGGAGGUCGCUCAAUAAACGUGCAAGUGGUAUGCGGGUUCAAUUUAAAAAUAUUAGACUAAUGCGAGAUUCGGUGGAACUGCUCACGAUGGUUCAGUAUGGAGAUCGAGUGCACUUAAGUUUCUGUUGGA